rnacentral:rRNA from 1 species
AGAAUCAACGCUGGCGGCGUGCCUAACACAUGCAAGUCGAACGAGAAAGUGGAGCAAUCCAUGAGUAAAGUGGCGACCGGGUGAGUAACACGUGACUAACCUACCCUCGAGUGGGGAAUAACUCCGGGAAACCGGGGCUAAUACCGCAUAGCAUCUUCGGAACGCGAGUUCUGUUGAUCAAAGGAGCAAUUCGCUUGAGGAGGGAGUCGCGGCUGAUUAGCUAGUUGGCGGGGUAAUGGCCCACCAAGGCUUAGAUCGGUAGCCGGCCUGAGAGGGCGCGACGGCCGACACUGGAACUGAAACACGGUCCAGACUCCUACGGGAGGCAGCAGUGGGGAAUUUUGCGCAAUGGGGAAACCCUGACGCAGCAACGCCGCGUGGAGGAUGAAGUCCCUUGGGAUGUAAACUCCUUUCGACCGGGAAGAUACUGACGGUACCGGUGGAAGAAGCACCGGCUAACUCUGUGCCAGCAGCCGC